CAGACGGACAUGCACAGCAUUUAUGUAAGGCAUCAUGGUGCUUAGUUGUACAGUGGAAAUUAGUCAUAUUUUGCAACAACAAACCACGGCAAUACAGUCCAAUAGUUGACUCGGUAAUGGGCUGGAGGUGAUGGCUUAAAUGACAAUGGAACAGCUUUACUUAGACCUUUUUCCUAAAGCUUGGCAGGCAUCUGCUGCACUUUGUAUUUAGGAGAUUGUAUUGUGAUUAUUUCCUUUACUAUAGUCAUUGUUGGUUAACCCCAUUCUCCGGAUCGCUGCCAUGGCAGCAUUUUCACAUAGUAACUCAAUAGCGUUCGUUUUUUUCAGAAAUAACGCCCGGUAGACUAUGUUCGUUUUUUCAGAAAUAACGCCCGGUAGGCUAUGUAACGGCCUAGCCGGUAUAUUUGUUUUCUGUUAGAGUAGUUAGCGGCCUCGACGAGCUGGUCAUGGGAUGGCACAAAGCAAGGAGCGGGUCAAGGCCACAUUAGCCGGGGGACUAGCGCCACUUCUCUGUACUCUGAAUAAAUAGCGGAGAAAUACAGAUAAGCAGCAAAUGCGCUAAGCAAAAUCUCAUGUGUAUUUCCUGUGGUCAUCGCGAUCAAGCUGCAUACAGUCGUCUCCCUUAAAUUUACCAAGUUCAAGCUUUUGUUGAAGUGCAUUGCCAGCCUUUCCCAUCAGUUUAAACUCAACAGUUUAUUGGCCUAUGUAUGCUGUACAGGAAUCAUGUUUUAUGUAGACGCUCUAGGAUGUACACAAAAUGAACUGCUCUUAUUAUGCAGUGGUGGCACAACAACUGGCAAGGCAGGAAGCACCAAAACCAGCCCAAAAUUACAUGUUAGCGGCUAACUGGGGUCAACCAAUAUUAAAUACACUCAAGUUAAUAUUUGCAACAGUUAAGCUCAAGAGUGCAAAUUACAUAUGUAUAGAAGACAUAUCUUCCAAGGGUAUAUGCGUCCCACCAUUCCAUUUGAUCUGUUGGGCAAACAGCGUAAAGAACAAGCUAAUAUUUGGGAGUAAGUGGAAUAUUAUUAAUUCAUAGCAAAAUACCAUUCUUUGCUACGAACAAAAAAAUAACAUGUCCUUAAUGACUAAACAAGUGAUCCCCACUUUUUAUUUUCCUGGUGCUCCCAUACAGCCACGUCAUCCAAUUGUCUUCUAUUUGUCUCCUUGGAGCUUCCCACUUAACAGUACUAGUGAGUGUAGUAGUUUUGAAAUCCACUCUCUGUUAAUCAUUAUAUGUGCAUUUCCUUUGCCCCAUUAUUGUCCAUCACGUCCAAGCAAUUUGCAUAGCUUUUCUUUUCCCUUAGUUAGCAUCAACCCCAUCCUAGGAUGCUAUAAGGCUUCUAGUUCCACCUCUUUUAAUUCAGAUUUAUGGUCAGCCUCAUACGAGGCAUAUGUUGAGCAGAGUUUGAGGUAAUCUUUUUGGGAAAGCGAGGAAACUCGAAUGGGCUAGGAAGAGAGUGGAUAUCUUGUACAGAAGGAAUGAUAAUGAAGCACAUAUUGACAGGAAUAAAGCCCAAUGUGAGAUGGAUGAACUCCUCUGGAAAGAGGAGACGAUGUGGAGACAAAGAUCCAGAACUGAGUGACUUAAGUGUGGUGAUCGUAAUACCAACUAGUUUCACAGGAAAGCUUCUUGGAGGGACAAGAAAAAUAAAAUUGCUAUGUUGAAUAAACAAGAUGGUUCCUUCACAGAUAAGUUGGAUGAAAUGCACGUUUUCAUAAAUAUUUUCUUUCAACGGCUUUAUGCUCAUGACAGUAAUGUGGACCCAUUGCCUAAAAUAUCUCUUGUGCAGCCUAAAGUAAGCACUGAGAUGAAUGGCGGUUACAUGCUAACUGUUUACCAACCAGGAGAUUAGUGAUGCUCAUUUUCAGAUUGGUCUUCUCAAAGCUCCAGGCCUGGUGGUUUUUCGGCGAGAUUUUUUCAGCAGAAUUGGGCGAUUCCGAGGAAUGAUAUUUGUUAGGAAAUAUGCAACUUGUAUUCCCAUGAGACCAUAGGCCAGUAUAUAUAUACAUGUACAGGUGUAGGAUAUGCAAAAAGGCCCUUAUACAGUGGGGUAAAUACAAAAGGCUACAUGGCUAUAUAAGUACUCUAACAACCCCCCCCCCCCCACCCCCCACCCCCCUUACGAAUGGGCUAGGAAGAGAGUGGAUGUCUUGCACAGAAGGAAUGAUAAUGAAGCACAUAUUGACAGGAAGAAAGUCCAAUGUGAAAUGGAUGAACUCCUCUUGAAAGAGGAGACGACGUGGAGACAAAGAUCCAGAACUGAGUGACGUGAUCGUAAUAUGUAGUUUCACAGGAAAGCUUCUUGGAGGGCCAAGAAAAAUAAAAUUGCUAUGUUGAAUAAACAAGAUGGUUCCUUCCCAGAUAAGUUGGAUGAAAUGCACGUUUUCAUAAAUAUUUUCUUUCAACGGCUUUAUGCUCAUGACAGUAAUGUGGACCCAUCGCCUAAAAUAUCUCUUGUCCAGCCUAAAGUAAGCACUGACAUGAAUGGCGGUUCUAUGCUAACUGUUUACCAACCAGGAGAUUAGUGAUGCUCAUUUUCAGAUUGGUCUUCACAAAGCUCCAGGCCUGGUGGUUUUUCGGCGAGAUUUUUUCAGCAGAAUUGGGCGAUUCCGAGGGAUGAUAUUGUUAGGAAAUAUGCAAUUUGUAUUCCCAUGAGGCCAUAGGCCAGUAUAUAUACAUGUACAGGUGUAGGAUAUGCAAAAAGCCCCUUAUACAAUGGGGUAAAUACAAAAGGCUACAUAGGCCAGUAUAUAUACAUGUACAGGUGUAGGAUAUGCAAAAAGCCCCUUAUACAAUGGGGUAAAUACAAAAGGCUACAUGGCUAUAUAAGUGCUCCAACAACCCCCGCCCCCCACCCUCCCUUACGAAUGGGCUAGGAAGAGAAUGGAUAUCUUGCACAGAAGGAAUGAUAAUGAAGCACAUAUUGACAGGAAGAAAGUCCAAUGUGAGAUGGAUGAACUCCUCUUGAAAGAGGAGACGAUGUGGAAGAAAAAGAUCCAGAAUUGAGUGACUUAAGUGUGGUGAUCGUAAUACCAACUAGUUUCACAGGAAAGCUUCUUGGAGGGCCAAGAAAAAUAAAAUUGCUAUGUUGAAUAAACAAGAUGGUUCCUUCACAGAUAAGUUGGAUGAAAUGCACGUUUUCAUAAAUAUUUUCUUUCAACGGCUUUAUGCUCAUGACAGUAAUGUGGACCCAUUGCCUAAAAUAUCUCUUGUGCAGCCUAAAGUAAGCACUGAGAUGAAUGGCGGUUACAUGCUAACUGUUUACCAACCAGGAGAUUAGUGAUGCUCAUUUUCAGAUUGGUCUUCUCAAAGCUCCAGGCCUGGUGGUUUUUCGGCGAGAUUUUUUCAGCAGAAUUGGGCGAUUCCGAGGAAUGAUAUUUGUUAGGAAAUAUGCAACUUGUAUUCCCAUGAGACCAUAGGCCAGUAUAUAUAUACAUGUACAGGUGUAGGAUAUGCAAAAAGGCCCUUAUACAGUGGGGUAAAUACAAAAGGCUACAUGGCUAUAUAAGUACUCUAACAACCCCCCCCCCCCCACCCCCCACCCCCCUUACGAAUGGGCUAGGAAGAGAGUGGAUGUCUUGCACAGAAGGAAUGAUAAUGAAGCACAUAUUGACAGGAAGAAAGUCCAAUGUGAAAUGGAUGAACUCCUCUUGAAAGAGGAGACGACGUGGAGACAAAGAUCCAGAACUGAGUGACGUGAUCGUAAUAUGUAGUUUCACAGGAAAGCUUCUUGGAGGGCCAAGAAAAAUAAAA